UGGGGAACUUUGGACAAUGGGCGCAAGCCUGAUCCAGCCAUGCCGCGUGCAGGAUGAAGGCCUUCGGGUUGUAAACUGCUUUUGUACGGAACGAAAAGACUCCUUCUAAUAAAGGGGGUCCAUGACGGUACCGUAAGAAUAAGCACCGGCUAACUACGUGCCAGCAGCCGCGGUAAUACGUAGGGCGCGAGCGUUAAUCGGAAUUACUGGGCGUAAAGCGUGCGCAGGCGGUUAUAUAAGACAGAUGGGAAAUCCCCGGGCUCAACCUGGGAACUGCAUUUGUGACUGUAUAGCUGGAGUACGGCAGAGGGGGAUGGAAUUCCGCGUGUAGCAGUAAAAUGCGUAGAUAUGCGGAGGAACACCGAUGGCGAAGGCAAUCCCCUGGGCCUGUACUGACGCUCAUGCACGAAAGCGUGGGGAGCAAACA
rnacentral:rRNA from 1 species